rnacentral:rRNA from 1 species
UACGUAGGGACCAAGCGUUGUUCGGAUUUACUGGGCGUAAAGGGCGCGUAGGCGGCGCGGUAAGUCACUUGUGAAAUCUCUGAGCUUAACUCAGAACGGCCAAGUGAUACUGCAGUGCUAGAGUGUGGAAGGGGCAAUCGGAAUUCUUGGUGUAGCGGUGAAAUGCGUAGAUAUCAAGAGGAACACCGGAGGCGAAGGCGGGUUGCUGGGCCGACACUGACGCUGAGGCGCGAAAGCCAGGGGAGCAAACGGG